UGGGGAAUUUUGGACAAUGGGCGAAAGCCUGAUCCAGCAAUGCCGCGUGUGUGAAGAAGGCCUUCGGGUUGUAAAGCACUUUUGUCCGGAAAGAAAUCCUUGGCUCUAAUACAGUCGGGGGAUGACGGUACCGGAAGAAUAAGCACCGGCUAACUACGUGCCAGCAGCCGCGGUAAUACGUAGGGUGCAAGCGUUAAUCGGAAUUACUGGGCGUAAAGCGUGCGCAGGCGGUUUGCUAAGACCGAUGUGAAAUCCCCGGGCUCAACCUGGGAACUGCAUUGGUGACUGGCAGGCUAGAGUAUGGCAGAGGGGGGUAGAAUUCCACGUGUAGCAGUGAAAUGCGUAGAGAUGUGGAGGAAUACCGAUGGCGAAGGCAGCCCCCUGGGCCAAAUACUGACGCUCAUGCACGAAAGCGUGGGGAGCAAACAGGAUUAGAUACCCUGGUAGUCCACGCCCUAAACGAUGUCAACUAGUUGUUGGGGAUUCAUUUCCUUAGUAACGUAGCUAACGCGUGAAGUUGACCGCCUGGGGAGUACGGUCGCAAGAUUAAAACUUAAAGGAAUUGACGGGGUCAUAGCUGUUCCU
rnacentral:rRNA from 1 species